rnacentral:rRNA from 1 species
CGCAAUAUUUAAAAACAUGUUAAAACUUUCAACAACGGAUCUCUUGGCUCUCGCAUCGAUGAAGAACGCAGCGAAAUGCGAUAAGUAAUGUGAAUUGCAGAAUUCAGUGAAUCAUCGAAUCUUUGAACGCACAUUGCGCCCUUUGGCAUUCCU